CGGGAGAAGAAGAACGUAUGGAUUACAUGCUGUGUCGGCUGCAGGGGGGCAGACGGUGUGAGACUGAAGGUUGUAAAGGGCAUGACAAUCCGAGGAGACCGUCGGGCGUCGGUCCAGCACCAUUGCUACCCGUCGGCCCCCGUCUGCCUUUUUUUGGCCAAUUUGACAUCAGCAGUUGGUGAGAGGACUCUCUCUGAUUGGCUGUUGGGAGGUUUCAUUUCUCUCCAGCUCUCGACACAGGUCUAGCAGGCGCAAAAGGCCAAACAAUUAUUUUGUGAAUCAGGCCAUCAGACAUGGAAAAGUUGAUGCUGCUCCCAGCCAGGAAUCACAU